CCUACGGGUGGCAGCAGUAGGGAAUAUUGCUCAAUGGGGGAAACCCUGAAGCAGCAACGCCGCGGGGAGGAUGAAGGUUUUGGGAGUGUAAACUCCUUGUGUUAGAGAAGAGAAUGACGGUAGCUAACGAAUAAGCACCGGCUAACUCCGUGCCAGCAGCCGCGGUAAUACGGAGGGUGCAAGCGUUACUCGGAAUCACUGGGCGACAAGAGCGCGUAGGCGGGAUAGCAAGUCAGAUGUGAAAUCCUAGGGCUUAACCAUAGAACUGCAUUUGAAACUGUUAUUCUAGAGUAUGGGAGAGGUAGGUGGAAUUCUUGGUGUAGGCGUCACAUCCGUAGCGCUCC
rnacentral:rRNA from 1 species